rnacentral:rRNA from 1 species
UACGAAGGGGGGCUAGCGUUGUUCGGAAUCACUGGGCGUAAAGGGCGCGUAGGCGGCUUUAUAAGUCGGGGGUGAAAGCCUGUGGCUCAACCACAGAAUUGCCUUCGAUACUGUAGAGCUUGAGACCGGAAGAGGUAAGUGGAACUGCGAGUGUAGAGGUGAAAUUCGUAGAUAUUCGCAAGAACACCAGUGGCGAAGGCGGCUUACUGGUCCGGUACUGACGCUGAGG